rnacentral:rRNA from 1 species
AGCGAACGCUGGCGGCAGGCUUAACACAUGCAAGUCGAGCGGGUGUAGCAAUACAUCAGCGGCAGACGGGUGAGUAACGCGUGGGAACGUACCUUUUGGUUCGGAACAACCCAGGGAAACUUGGGCUAAUACCGGAUAAGCCCUUACGGGGAAAGAUUUAUCGCCGAAAGAUCGGCCCGCGUCUGAUUAGCUAGUUGGUGAGGUAAUGGCUCACCAAGGCGACGAUCAGUAGCUGGUCUGAGAGGAUGAUCAGCCACAUUGGGACUGAGACACGGCCCAAACUCCUACGGGAGGCAACAGUGGGGAAUAUUGGACAAUGGGGGCAACCCUGAUCCAGCCAUGCCGCGUGAGUGAUGAAGGCCCUAGGGUUGUAAAGCUCUUUUGUGCGGGAAGACAAUGACGGUACCGCAAGAAUAAGCCCCGGCUAACUUCGUGCCAGCAGCCGCGGUAACAC